rnacentral:rRNA from 1 species
UACGUAGGUGGCAAGCGUUAUCCGGAAUUAUUGGGCGUAAAGGGCGCGUAGGCGGUUUGUACAGUCAGGUGUGAAAUUCCCGGGCUCAACCUGGGAACUGCGUUUGAAACUGGGAGACUUGAGUGUGGCAGAGGGGGGUGGAAUUCCACGUGUAGCAGUGAAAUGCGUAGAUAUGUGGAGGAACACCGAUGGCGAAGGCAGCCCCCUGGGUUAACACUGACGCUCAUGCACGAAAGCGUGGGGAGCAAACAGG